GUGACAGUGGCCACCCGAGGCUCACGGCCGGUGGACAGCGCAUGCAGCUCCAUCUUGGAAGCUGCCAUCCGCGUGGUCAUCUCAGUGUCCGCAGCUACUCCAGCCCCACAGCAGCUGCGGGCAAAGGGAUGAGCUGAGGACCGAACCCAGGGCCUUGUGCUUGCUAGGCAAGCGCUCUACCACUGAGAUAAAUCCCCAACUCCGCCUGUUUGACCUUCAGUGAUGUAGUCUGGUGAGUCACUCGCCAGACCACAGUGAAGACUGGCCCUGUGUGCCCAGUAUAAAACAGUGCUCAG